GCAGGGUGUGGUGGUGCACACCUGUAAUCCCAGAGGCUUGGGAGGCUGAGGCAGGAGGAUCCGGAGUUCAAAGCCAGCCUCAGCAACUUAGUGAGGCACUAAGCAACUCAGUGAGACCCUGUCUCUA
rnacentral:sRNA from 1 species